AUUUAUAUAAUAUAUUUAGUAUAUUUGACUUCCAAUCAAAACGAUUAAUCCCAAUUAAUAUAAAUA
rnacentral:tRNA from 1 species